GUGUCAGCAGCCGCGGUAACACGGGGGGAGCAAGCGUUGUUCGGAAUCACUGGGCGUAAAGGGCGUGUAGGCGGUCAGGUAAGUGGAAUGUGAAAGCCCCCGGCUCACCCGGGGAUCUGCAUCCCAAACUGCCUGGCUUGAGUACGGGAGAGGAUAGGGGAAUUCCUGGUGUAGCGGUGAAAUGCGUAGAUAUCAGGAGGAACACCGGUGGCGAAGGCGCCUAUCUGGCCCGAUACUGACGCUGAGGCGCGAAAGCUAGGGGAGCAAACGGGAUUAGAAACCCUCGUAGUCC
rnacentral:rRNA from 1 species